UUGAACUGGGCCAGCAGGCUUUGCAAGCAAGUAUCUUUAACUGCUGAGCUGUUUUCCCAGGCCCUCCCAGACCUUCUGACAAAGAUGUUGCUUCUGUGGCUGGGGACAUAGCUCAGUGGUCGAGCCCUUGCCUCGCACGCACACGCAGGCUCUGAGCUGGACCCGCCCAGCUGCUUCGGAGUCACUGUCUUUUCAUGGUGCUCUCGAUGUAGGACUCCAGCAGGAAGAUGGUUUCAUCCACCUGGAUCUCACUGGCAUCUAACCUGAGGGAAAAGUUGCACCUCCUCUGCUCCUGUGGCCUGCAUCGAUGCAAGGAUGGCUUCGACCCUCUGAGACUUUUCUAGCAGACGCCUAUCGGACAAACAGAACUCUGAGGCAUGCUCCUGGGAGAUCCUCUUGCCAUUCAUUUCUCAAGCACAGUGCUUCUCUUUACCAUGUUUUAUCUACAGACGUUUUCUAUAAACUGAAAUUACGUAUGAUCUCA